rnacentral:lncRNA from 1 species
AUUCCCCUCACGUGUGGCCUUAAAGAGUUCUAUAUUCUUUUGCUAAGUCAGACUUGGCUUUUACCAGUUUGUUAGCGAUUUCAGCUAAAAUUUUCUUACUCGUAUCUGACAGUGUCUGCCUCAGAGCUCUGUCCAGUUGCUCCAAGCUUUACUGGUUGCACUCUAGGUCUGCUGCACAUCUACACGGAUAUCACCUGGAGAGGAAGAUCAGCCCUGGGCUAACUGCUGCCAAUCCUCCUCUUUUUGCUGAGGAAGAUGGGCCCUGAGCUAACAUCCGUGCCCAUCUUCCUCUACUUUAUGUGUGGGAUGCCUACCACUGCAUGGCGUGCCAAGUGGUGCCAUGUCCACACUUGGGUUCCGAACCAGCAAACCCUGGGCCGCUGAAGCGGAACGUGCACACUUAACCACUGACCCACCGGGCCGGCCCCUCACAAUCACUUAUUCUGGAGAACCCCAGAUGCUCAGUCAUGAAGACACUUAUCCAGAGUCCUGUGUGGUGAGGAACUGAGGCGUUCAUCCAGUGAGGAAUUGAGGAUUCCUACUAACAGCCAUGUGAGUGAACUUGAAAGUGAGUGAAUCCUCCAACUUCUCAAUCAGUCCUUCAGAUGACUGCAGUCCUGGCUGACAUCUUGCCUGUAACCUCAUGAAAGACCUUGAGCUACACUCGCCCAGCUAAGCUUCUCCAAAAUUCCUGAGUCAAAGAAACUGUAAGAUAAU